rnacentral:tRNA from 1 species
UUAUUUAAACUGUAUAACUAAUUGUCUACUAUUGAUUUACUGCACAAAUACCCUAUGACUCAUAAUCAGGUGGUCGCUGGUUCGAGCCCAGCAGGGCCCA